rnacentral:tRNA from 1 species
UUCGCUGAUGGUCGGCCGUUUUAUGACCUUGAUCUUCGGGAUCAGCGGUGGGGUGCGGAUCAUCUCUGCGGGGC